rnacentral:rRNA from 1 species
AUUGAACGCUGGCGGCAGGCCUAACACAUGCAAGUCGAGCGGAGCGGCGGACGGGUGAGUAAUGCCUAGGAAGCGGCCCGGGAGUGGGGGAUAACGGCCGGAAACGGGAGCUAAUACCGCAUACUCUCAGAUGAGACUAGGGGGGAUUAGCUAGUUGGUGGGGUAAAGGCCUACCAAGGCGAAGAUCAGUAACUGGUCUGAGAGGAUGAUCAGUAACACUGGAACUGAGACACGGUCCAGACUCCUACGGGAGGCAGCAGUGGGGAAUAUUGGACAAUGGGCGAAAGCCUGAUCCAGCCAUGCCGCGUGUGUGAAGAAGGUCUUCGGAUUGUAAAGCACUUUAAGUUGGGAGGCGUUACCCACAGAAUAAGCACCGGCUAACUUCGUGCCAGCAGCCGCGGUAAUUC